rnacentral:rRNA from 1 species
CACCGCGGUUAUACGAAAGACCCUAGUUGAUACUCACGGCGUAAAGGGUGGUUAAGGGAUAAAACAAAUAAAGCUAAAGAGCCUCUAAGCCGUCGUACGCACCCCGAAAGCUCGAAACCCAAAAACGAAAGUAGCUUUAAAAUAUAUAUACCUGACCCCACGAAAGCUAAGAAA